rnacentral:tRNA from 1 species
GCACCCGUAGCUCAACUGGAUAGAGCAGCGGAUUCCGGUUCCGCAGAUUGAAGGUUCAAAUCCUUUCGGGUGUA